UACGGAGGGGGCUAGCGUUGUUCGGAAUUACUGGGCGAAAAGCGCACGUAGGCGGACUGGAAAGUCAGGGGUGAAAUCCCGGGGCUCAACCCCGGAACUGCCUUUGAAACUCCCAGUCUUGAGGUCGAGAGAGGUGAGUGGAAUUCCGAGUGUAGAGGUGAAAUUCGUAGAUAUUCGGAGGAACACCAGUGGCGAAGGCGGCUCACUGGCUCGAUACUGACGCUGAGGUGCGAAAGCGUGGGGAGCAAACGGG
rnacentral:rRNA from 1 species